rnacentral:rRNA from 1 species
GGAGGGGGCUAGCGUUGUUCGGAUUUACUGGGCGUAAAGGGCGCGUAGGCGGUAUGCCAUGUCAGGGGUGAAAGGCCUGGGCUCAACCCAGGAACUGCCUUUGAAACUGGCAAACUAGAGUCCGAUAGAGGAUGGCGGAAUUCCCAGUGUAGAGGUGAAAUUCGUAGAUAUUGGGAAGAACACCAGUGGCGAAGGCGGCCAUCUGGAUCGGCACUGACGCUGAGGCGCGAAAGCGUGGGGAGCAAACAGGGAUUAGAUACCCUGGUAGUCCACGCCGUAAACGAUGUGUGCUAGACGUUGGGGGCCCUUAGGCCCUGGGUGUCGCAGCUAACGCGUUAAGCACACCGCCUGGGGAGUACGGCCGCAAGGUUA